rnacentral:lncRNA from 1 species
AAGGUUUAUGCCUCAUUUCCCAGGCCUGCUAUGCAUUAAAACAUUUAGUGUGAAAGCAAGCUCAUGCCCUGGCCAUUUUCCUAAAAUCUCAACAUAGAGAUUGUGCUGUAGGGUGUCCUCUUUGUCUGGCUUGCUUGUAUGCCUUGUGAAGCCGAUGGCACUCCUCGUUCCACUAGGGUUUGACUGGUAAGCCGUGCUACUGAGGUGGUUUGCAGGAUGCGGACCAGGAAAUCUGCCCAGAAACCUAUCUGGAUGCCAUGUUGUUCUUGUCUCUAAAGUUCUUCCACCGUGUGCUGCAGAGCAAGCGCUCAAUGGGGCGCAGUUGCUAGAUCACUGGUGCCUGUGUUGGCCAUCCGAUUUGAGUUUUUUCCUUGACUGGAUUUCAAAAGCCCUCUUUUGUGCGGGAAUAUUUUUCCAGAUUGUAUCUUCAAUGCCAAGGGAUGUGUGCCCCUUUCAAUUUGAUGCGCCUGGACAUGCAAUGCCCAAAUUGUCGAGGAGGGCCGCCAGCACAAGGAGUUCCCCUUUAUGUAUCUGCUGUCAAGUGAUUAGGAGUAUGAUGUCUUAAUGGCAGACCAUCACGAGCUGGUAACAAAGAGAAGAAACAUCUCUUUUUACUUUUGUAGUUCAUACAAACUUUGGUUUGUUUGUCUCAUAGCAAUCUGUGGUGUCCAUACCCAAGAUUUCUCAACUUGGAGUAAGUAGGAUUGAUUAUAACUUGUCUCUUUUGAAGUUACCUUUAGAAGGACGAUGUCAUUUCUUUAGUGACUAAGACACUUUUUUUGUUUUUCUCUUACAGGUUCAAAUCCCAACGUUGUGGUAAACAUAUGGAGAGAACCAUCCUACGGGCUGUCAUGGCCGUCACUACCACAGCCUACGAGUGAGCGGGCCAUGGCAGUCAGGGCUUGGUCCCAGGGCUGUAAUCUGCAAGCGGCUCACAGCCAUGAGCCAUGGCUGAGAAAGCGCUAUGAACACAAAGCUAAUCUUGCUGUUCGUGUUAGUUGGGGCUGGUCAGCACUCCAGUAGCUCAAGGCUAGUCAAUUGGUAGUUUUUAUUAAUUGUUAUAAAUU